GAUGAACGCUGGCGGCGUGCCUAAUACAUGCAAGUCGAGCGAACAGACGAGGAGCUUGUUCCUCUGACGUUAGCGGCGGACGGGCGAGUAACACGUGGAUCACCUACUUCUAAGACUGGGAUAACUUCGGGAAACAGGAGAUACUACCGGAUAAUAUAUUGUACCGCAUGGUUCAAUAGUGAAUGACGGUUUUGCUGUCACAUAUAGAUGGUUCCGCGCCGCAUUAGCUAGUUGGUAAGGUAACGGCUUACCAAGGCAACGAUGCGUAGCCGACCUGAGAGGAUGAUCGGCCACACUGGAACUGAGACACGGUCCAGACUCCUACGGGAGGCAGCAGUAGGGAAUCUUCCGCAAUGGGCGAAAGCCUGACGGAGCAACGCCGCGUGAGUGAUGAAGGUCUUCGGAUCGUAAAACUCUGUUAUUAGGGAAGAACAAAUGUGUAAGUAACUAUGCACGUCUUGACGGUACCUAAUCAGAAAGCCACGGCUAACUACGUG
rnacentral:rRNA from 1 species